CAGUCGCCCGGUAAUACGUAGGUCCCGAGCGUUGUCCGGAUUUAUUGGGCGUAAAGCGAGCGCAGGCGGUUAGAUAAGUCUGAAGUUAAAGGCUGUGGCUUAACCAUAGUACGCUUUGGGAACUGUUUAACUUGAGUGCAAGAGGGGAGAGUGGAAUUCCAUGUGUAGCGGUGAAAUGCGUAGAUAUAUGGAGGAACACCGGUGGCGAAAGCGGCUCUCUGGCUUGUAACUGACGCUGAGGCUCGAAAGCGUGGGGAGCAAACAGGAUUAGAGACCCCAGUAGUCCCUGUCUCUUAUACAC
rnacentral:rRNA from 1 species